CCCCUUUGACAAUGGGCAAAGAGACACAUUGUUGGUGCUGUUCUUAUAUUGGUCAAGGGCAGAGCAGAUGGAAAUCCAUUGUUCAUCCUAGUUUAAUGUCUGGCUUGGUGGCCAAAGCUGUCUUAUACCUAGGACUUAUAA